GACGAACGCUGGCGGCGUGCCUAAUACAUGCAAGUCGAGCGGAAGUUGGAGAGCUUGCUCUUCAACUUUAGCGGCGGACGGGUGAGUAACACGUGGGCAACCUGCCCUGCAGAUCGGGAUAACUCCGGGAAACCGGUGCUAAUACCGAAUAGUUUUCGCCACCUCCUGGUGGCGUACGGAAAGACGGUUUCGGCUGUCACUGCAGGAUGGGCCCGCGGCGCAUUAGCUAGUUGGUGGGGUAACGGCCCACCAAGGCGACGAUGCGUAGCCGACCUGAGAGGGUGAUCGGCCACACUGGGCCUGAGACACGGCCCAGAAUCCUACGGGAGGCAGCAGUAGGGAAUCUUCCGCAAUGGACGCAAGUCUGACGGAGCAACGCCGCGUGAGUGACGAAGGUUUUCGGAUCGUAAAACUCUGUUGUGACGGAAGAACAAGUACCAAUUAACUACUGGUACCUUGACGGUACCUCACCAGAAAGCCACGGCUAACUACGUGCCAGCCGCCGCAGUAAGAC
rnacentral:rRNA from 1 species